CUACCCUAUUCAAUGAGAGUAAAAUUAAUGCAACAUUUUCACAUUGCAAAGUUGUUUCCUUCAGUUUGGCAAAUGGUGGCAGCACCAGUGUGUAUGCAAUCUGUACAUUUAGAAAUGAUUCCACCGCUGAGGAGAUUGAUAAAGUUACUGUGUACCGUGAAUUCAGAGACAACACAAAGAACAUCUCUACCUUAGGAAACUAUUCGCUGGACAACAACAGCCUUUACGUAAAUGGUUAUCAUGAAUCAGCAUUUUUCCCAA